rnacentral:rRNA from 1 species
CCUACGGGAGGCAGCAGUGGGGAAUAUUGGACAAUGGGGGCAACCCUGAUCCAGCCAUGCCGCGUGUGUGAAGAAGGCCCUCGGGUUGUAAAGCACUUUCAGUGAGGAAGAACGCCUGGUGGUUAAUACCCAUCAGGAAAGACAUCACUCACAGAAGAAGCACCGGCUAACUCCGUGCCAGCAGCCGCGGUAAUACGGAGGGUGCGAGCGUUAAUCGGAAUUACUGGGCGUAAAGCGCGCGUAGGUGGCUUGAUAAGCCGGUUGUGAAAGCCCCGGGCUCAACCUGGGAACGGCAUCCGGAACUGUCAAGCUAGAGUGCAGGAGAGGAAGGUAGAAUUCCCGGUGUAGCGGUGAAAUGCGUAGAGAUCGGGAGGAAUACCAGUGGCGAAGGCGGCCUUCUGGACUGACACUGACACUGAGGUGCGAAAGCGUGGGUAGCAAACAGGAUUAGCUACCCUAGUAGUA